rnacentral:rRNA from 1 species
AUUGAACGCUGGCGGCAUGCUUUACACAUGCAAGUCGAACGGUAACAGGCCGCAAGGUGCUGACGAGUGGCGAACGGGUGAGUAAUGCAUCGGAACGUGCCCAGUCGUGGGGGAUAACGCAACGAAAGCUGUGCUAAUACCGCAUACGAUCUAUGGACGAAAGCGGGGGACCGCAAGGCCUCGCGCGAUUGGAGCGGCCGAUGUCAGAUUAGGUAGUUGGUGGGGUAAAGGCCUACCAAGCCGACGAUCUGUAGCUGGUCUGAGAGGACGACCAGCCACACUGGGACUGAGACACGGCCCAGACUCCUACGGGAGGCAGCAGUGGGGAAUUUUGGACAAUGGGCGCAAGCCUGAUCCAGCAAUGCCGCGUGCAGGAAGAAGGCCUUCGGGUUGUAAACUGCUUUCGUACGGAACGAAACGGCCUGGGUUAAUACCCUGGGCCAAUGACGGUACCGUAAGAAUAAGCACCGGCUAACUACGUGCCAGCCGCCGCCGUAAUAC